GGAAGAAUUUUGGAGGCCACACUUUCUUCUAAUACUGAUACACGGCUCAAGAUGCAAUCUCUGCAAAACAUGUAUGAGUAUCUUCUUGAUGCUGAAAGUCAAAUGGGAACAAAUAAUGCAAGCGAGAAUGAAGAUGCUAACACAGCAGUUGGUGGCCCUAGUGUGCCUGUUGCUGCAGGGGCUGGUGAUACCAACAUUUGUGGAGGAAUAAUUCAGUUGUAUUGGUCUAAAAUCUUAGAAAGAUGCCUAGAUGUGAAUGAACAAGUGCGUCAGUCUUCUCUUAAGAUUGUGGAAGUUGUACUGCGUCAAGGUCUUGUUCAUCCUAUUACCUGUGUUCCCUCUUUGAUAGCUCUUGAAACAGAUCCGCAGGAGGUGAACUCAAAGCUGGCUCAUCAUUUGUUGAUGAACAUGAAUGAGAAGUAUCCAUCCUUCUUUGAGAGUCGUCUUGGUGAUGGUCUACAAAUGUCAUUUAUGUUCAUA
rnacentral:misc_RNA from 1 species